CCACUACGGGAGGCAGCAGUGGGGGAUAUUGCACAAUGGGGGGAACCCUGAUGCAGCGACGCCGCGUGGGUGAAGAAGCGCCUCGGCGCGUAAAGCCCUGUCAGCAGGGAAGAAAAUGACGGUACCUGAAGAAGAAGCCCCGGCUAACUACGUGCCAGCAGCCGCGGUAAUACGUAGGGGGCAAGCGUUAUCCGGAUUUACUGGGUGUAAAGGGGGCGCAGACGGCGAUGCAAGCCAGGAGUGAAAGCCCGGGGCCCAACCCCGGGACUGCUUUGGAAACUGGAUAGCUGGAGUGCAGGAGAGGU
rnacentral:rRNA from 1 species